CCUACGGGAGGCAGCAGUGAGGAAUAUUGGUCAAUGGGCUUACGCCUGAACCAGCCAAGUCGCGUGAGGGAAGACUGCCCUAUGGUUUGUAACCCUCUUUUGUCAGGGAGCACCGCCGGCUACGUGUAGCCGGGCUGAGAGUACCUGAAGAAAAAGCAUCGGCUAACUCCGUCCCAGCAGUCGCGGUAAUUCGGAGGAUGCGAGCGUUAUCCGGCUUUAUUGGGUUAAAAGGGUGCGUAGGCGGAAUGCCAAGUCAGCGGUAAAAUCGCGGGGCUCAACCUCGCUCCGCCGUUGAAACUGGCGUUCUUGAGUGGGUGAGAAGUAUGCGGAAUGCGAGGUGUAGCGGUGAAAUGCAUAGAUAUCACGCAGAACUCCGAUUGCGAAGGCAGCAUACCGGCGCCCAACUGACGCUGAAGCACGAAAGCGUGGGUAUCGAACAGGAUUAGAUACCCCGGUAGUC
rnacentral:rRNA from 1 species